GAUGAACGCUGGCGGCGUGCCUAAUACAUGCAAGUCGAGCGAACAGACGAGGAGCUUGCCCCUCUGACGUUAGCGGCGGACGGGUGAGUAACACGUGGAUAACCUACCUAUAAGACUGGGAUAACUUCGGGAAACCGGAGCUAAUACCGGAUAAUAUAUUGAACCGCAUGGUUCAAUAGUGAAAGACGGUUUUGCUGUCACCUAUAGAUGGAUCCGCGCCGCAUUAGCUAGUUGGUAAGGUAACGGCUUACCAAGGCGACGAUGCGUAGCCGACCUGAGAGGGUGAUCGGCCACACUGGAACUGAGACACGGUCCAGACUCCUACGGGAGGCAGCAGUAGGGAAUCUUCCGCAAUGGGCGAAAGCCUGACGGAGCAACGCCGCGUGAGUGAUGAAGGUCUUCGGAUCGUAAAACUCUGUUAUUAGGGAAGAACAAAUGUGUAAGUAACUAUGCACGUCUUGACGGUACCUAAUCAGAAAGCCACGGCUAACUACGUG
rnacentral:rRNA from 1 species